GACGACAUAAUCUACAUCCACCAUUUCAAAGGCUUUGACUGGUUUGGGUUUCCUCUGGAAACCAAAGAUUCUAUUGAGGAAUUAACUUUAUUUAUAUAGCAAAU